CGGCCAUCCGAGUUGUAAUCUAGAGAAGCGUUACCCGCGUCGGACCGUGUACAAGUCUCCUGGAAUGGAGCGUCAUAGAGGGUGAGAAUCCCGUCUUUGACACGGACUACCGAGGCUUUGUGGUGCGCUCUCAAAGAGUCGAGUUGUUUGGGAAUGCAGCUCAAAAUGGGUGGUAAAUUCCAUCUAAAGCUAAAUAUUGGCGAGAGACCGAUAGCGAACAAGUACCGUGAGGGAAAGAUGAAAAGAACUUUGGAAAGAGAGUUAAACAGUACGUGAAAUUGCUAAAAGGGAAACGCUUGAAGUCAGUCGCGUUGGCCGGAAAUCAGCCCUGCUUUUGCUGGGUGUACUUUCUGGUUGACGGGCCAGCAUCAGUUUUGACCGGUGGAAAAAGUCUAGGGGAAUGUGGCAUCUUCGGAUGUGUUAUAGCCCUUGGUCGUAUACAUCGGUUGGGACUGAGGAACUCAGCACGCCGCAAGGCCGGGUCUUUGACCACGUUCGUGCUUAGGAUGCUGGCAUAAUGGCUUUAAUCGACCCGUCUUGAAACACGGACCAAGGAGUCUAACAUGCCUGCGAGUGUUUGGGUGGAAAACCCGGACGCGUAAUGAAAGUGAAAGUUGAGAUCCCUGUCAUGGGGAGCAUCGACGCCCGGACCAGAAGUUUUCUGACGGCCCUGCGGUAGAGCAUGUAUGUUGGGACCCGAAAGAUGGUGAACUAUGCCUGAAUAGGGUGAAGCCAGAGGAAACUCUGGUGGAGGCUCGUAGC
rnacentral:rRNA from 1 species